rnacentral:rRNA from 1 species
GAUGAACGCUGGCGGCGUGCCUAAUACAUGCAAGUCGAACGCUGAAGGAGGAGCUUGCUCUUCUGGAUGAGUUGCGAACGGGUGAGUAACGCGUAGGUAACCUGCCUGGUAGCGGGGGAUAACUAUUGGAAACGAUAGCUAAUACCGCAUGACAACAGUUAUUGCAUGAUAACUGUUUAAAAGGGGCAACUGCUCCACUACCAGAUGGACCUGCGUUGUAUUAGCUAGUUGGUGAGGUAACGGCUCACCAAGGCGACGAUACAUAGCCGACCUGAGAGGGUGAUCGGCCACACUGGGACUGAGACACGGCCCAGACUCCUACGGGAGGCAGCAGUAGGGAAUCUUCGGCAAUGGACGGAAGUCUGGCCGAGCAACGCCGCGUGAGGGAAGAAGGUUUUCGGAUCGUAAAGCUCUGUUGUAAGAGAAGAACGAGUGUGAGAGUGGAAAGUUCACACUGUGACGGUAUCUUACCAGAAAGGGACGGCUAACUACGUG